AUGGGACAAUUAUAUACAGUGCCAAUGGCUAAUAAUUCUCUUGUUUCAUGUCUCAUUUCUUUUAUACAGGCUUUAACCAGACGUGCUGCUGCAUUCACCGUUGAUGUUCGCGAAAGAUGCUGCAUUUCUCGGGGGAAUGUCAACAACAUAGUGGCAGAAGUGCAACAGUUUCAAUUUGCCCUUUUGGAAAACCUGCGAGAGAGAGUAAGGAAUGUUUUUGAAAGACAUGGACAUAUGGACAACAUAGAGCAGCUUCGUAAUGAGACAAUGGCAACAAUUGUUGACUUUCCCGAUCCUUUCGCCUCCUUGACCACGAGUUACAUGCAGGACCAAACUAUUAAAGAACUUUUUCAUCCAGUUGAACCUGAAGAGGUCAUCAUCUCACAGAAGCUCUGUAGAGUUAAGAGAGGUGGAACAAGGGUACUUAAAACUAGGAACAUUUGUUUUUAUUAUGUGCCUCUCAUCAAAAGUUUGGAACAAUUUCUGUGUAACCCGAGAAUAUCCAAUAUGAUUCAUCACCCAACAAACUGUAGCAAAGAUGGCUUUCUUAAAGACAUUGUUAAUGGAAGCCUUUUCAAAACUCAUCCUUUAUUUUCUGUUAAGCGCACAGCAUUACAGUUAAUUUUAUAUUCAGAUGAAAUCGAAAUCUGCAAUCCUCUUGGUGCACAUGCUUCUGUUAACAAACUACUGAUGUUCUAUUACUCAUUAGGAAACAUUGAGCCAAAAUUUAGAUCAAAGCUUCCAGCCAUAAGACUUCUCGCAAUUGCGAAAGCUAAGGAUAUUUCAGAGGCUGGUGUUGAUGUUAUUUUGGAGCGAAUCGAAAAGGAUUUAAAGAAGCUUUACAGUGGUACAAGAGUCAAAACUGGAAGCACGGAAACAAAUAUCUUUGGUGCUGUAAUAUCAGUAUGUGGGGAUACCCUUGCUCAGCACGAUCUAGCUGGGUUUAAAUCUGGGGUUGGUUUUGCUUUUAGCAAGUGCAGGCAUUGUGAGUGUGACUUUAACAGUAUGCAAAGCAACUUUGACGAGAAUGAUUUUACCCCAAGAACAUUACAAAAUCAUAUCAGACAGUGUGAAGAAAUAGAGAGGGCCAGUACAGAAUUUCUUAAAAAAUCCCUAAUGACCACUUAUGGCCUUAAUAGAAGGAGCAAACUUGUCGAUUUCCCAGCUUUUGAUUUAAUCCGGCAAACCCCACAGGAUAUAAUGCAUGUCUUACUUGAGGGUGUGGUGCCCUAUGAAAUGAAAUGCGUGUUAAAGGCUCUCAUUUUGUCUGGAGACACUGAAUUGGACUCCAUAAACACAGGUAUACAAGGCUUUUCUUAUUCACCGGUUGAUGUACGCGACAAACCAUGCCCCAUCACUGUAAAUACUUUAUCCUCAAAUGAUAACAAACUUAAACAGUCUGCAGGGCAGAUGUUGGUGUUCAUGAAAAUAUUUCCAUUUAUUGUAAACAGCAUCAGUACUAAUGUAUAUGUUCAGUUUAUAAUAGGAUUACUUGAAAUAUCUCAGAUCAUAUUUUCCCCAGUUAUAGCCAUUGAAACAUUGGAAAAACUCAGGAGGAUGAUUGAACAACACCUAAAAGAGUUUACUAAUCUUUUCCCUGCCAACAACAUAACUCCCAAACAGCAUUAUAUGAUACAUUUUCCUUCACAAAUUGAG
ensembl:lncRNA